rnacentral:rRNA from 1 species
CGGAGGGGGCUAGCGUUGUUCGGAAUGACUGGGUGUAAAGGGCGCGUAGGCGGUGUUUUAAGUGAGGCGUGAAAGCCCUGGGCUUAACCCAGGAGGUGCGUUUCAUACUGGAAUACUUGAGUGCGAGAGAGGAAAGUGGAAUUCCUAGUGUAGAGGUGAAAUUCGUAGAUAUUAGGAAGAACACCAGAGGCGAAGGCGGCUUUCUGGCUCGCAACUGACGCUGAGGCGCGAAAGCGUGGGGAGCAAACAGGAUUAGAUACCCUGGUAGUCCACGCUGUAAACGAUGAGUGCUAGACGUUGGAGGUUAAACUUCAGUGUCGCAGCUAACGCAAUAAGCACUCCACCUGGGGAGUACGGUCGCAAGGCUA